AAAAAGAAAAAGGCAGAAUCGUCAGCCCUCAUUUCCACUAUGAGUAAGAAGACCUGUUAUCCAUGAGUUUUUCCUAAGCAUUACAAAUAUUUGUUUUAAUAUAUUUCAUUUCCUGAAAGAAUUUUCCCUAAACUAGGAAAUAAAUUAAUUUUGUUUUUAAGAAUAUAUAUAAUUGCUGCCCAUCCAUGAUAUAAAUAUCCUAACUAAGUUUUUAAUUCUUUUUCCAUUCUCUC
rnacentral:lncRNA from 1 species